ACACUUUGACUCUUCAGUGCAGUGUGGAGCCUAACAAAGAUCUGUUUUGUGUCCCAGCUGAUCAGCAGGAGGAGAAGAGUCUGACGGAGCAGCAGAGGAACAUUUUCAGCUACUUGGACUCAGCUCAGCCACUACAGAGAAAACAAUGAGCUCAACACAGAAGGACCAACAUGGAGCGAGAAGUCAGCGCUCUCAGGAGGUCGACAAACCUCACAGAAGAAAGAGAGAGAAAACAUACACCUGUGACAAGUGUGGGAAGGAGUUUACUGUGAAGGAUGAACUAAAACAUCAUCAGGUCAUCCACACUGGAGAGAGACCGUUCAGCUGUGACUUGUGUGGAAAGUCUUUUUCCAGGAAGGGUUCCCUAAAAAGACACCAACUCAUCCACAGUGGAGUUAAAGUGUACAGCUGUGAUCAGUGUGGCAGAGCUUUUACUCACAGUACCAGCUUACAGAUUCAUCUAGUUACCCACUCUGGAAUUAAGGCAUACAGCUGUGAUCAGUGUGGCAGAGCUUUUACUCACAGUACCAGCUUACAGAGGCAUCUAGUUACCCACUCUGGAAUUAAGGCAUACAGCUGUGACAAGUGUGGGAAGGAGUUUACUGAGAAGUAUAAACUUAAACAGCAUCAGGUCAUCCACAGUGGAGAGAGACCGUUCAGCUGAGACUUGUGUGGAAAGUCUUUUUCCAGAAAGGAUCACCUAAAACAACACCAAUUCAUCCACAAUGGAGUUAAAGCGUACAGCUGUGAUCAAUGUGGCAGAGGUUUUACUCAAAGAAGCCACUUGCAGAAUCAUCUAGUUACCCACUCUGGAAUUAAGGCGUACAGCUGUGACGAGUGUGGGAAGGAGUUUACUGAGAAGUAUAAACUAAAACAGCAUCAGGUCAUCCACACUGGAGAGAGACCUUUCAGCUGUGACUUGUGUGCAAAGUCUUUUUCCUUGAAGGGUCACCUAAAAAAACACCAACUCAUCCACAGUGGAGUUAAAGCGUACAGCUGUGAUCAGUGUGGCAGAGCUUUUACUCACAGUAGCAGCUUACAGAUUCAUCUAGUUACCCACUCUGGAAUUAAGGCAUACAGCUGUGACAUCUGUGGAAAAACUUUCAGCCUAAGAGGAGCCCGAAAUAGACACCUACGCAUUCACACCAGACAUGAUGUGUACAGCUGUGAACACUGUGGCAAAUACUUUGCUACAGACACACAGUUACAACAACACAUGUUUACCCACACUGAGGAGAGACCUUAUAAAUGUGACCUGUGUGAGAAGACUUUUAAAUCUCCACAUUACCUGAGACGACACCAACAGAUCCACACCAGAAAGAGACUCUACAAGUGCAGUUACUGUGAGCAGAGCGACACAGAUGGAUCCAGUUCUCAACCCUGUCAUCACUGUGGUGGUGGGAAAGAGUUUCAUUGUGACCUCUGUGGAAAAACGUUUAGUCGGCAAGACACCCUAAAAAUACAUCAACGUAAACAUACUGGAGACAAACUGAAAUACUGCAAAGAAUGUGGGAGAAGCUUCACCACAUCAAGUGACUUAAAGCAACAUGAACUGAUUCACAGUGGGGUUAAAAAGCACCUCUGUGAUCAGUGUGGGUCAUCCUUCACCACUGCAUGGAAGCUUAAAUCACACAAACGAGUCCACACAGGAGAGAAAGCGUACAAGUGCAGACACUGUGACAAAAGCUUCUCACGUUCAGGUAGUCGUAACAGGCAUGAACGUGCACACAUGGAAGGAAACUACAGCUGUGACCAGUGUGACAAGAGCUUCAGGAAUCUCAGUUCAUACUCCGAACACAAACGAUCCCACGUUACUAAUAAACUGUUUCACUGUUACCAAUGUGCCCAAACAUUCACCUCAUUGUCUGCUCUGUGCAAACAUCAGCGUGAUCACUCAGGGCUGAAAUCACUCCCAUCACUGGAUCACAGUGAAUCUGAAGAGACAGAAAGAUCCUCUGGUUUCAGUGUCAGACUCAAAAAGCUUGAGAUCAGGCUCCACAGAGUUCAGAUAGAAUCAUUUAAACUUGUGUUGAACUGAACUGGUUGCUGGGCUGAACUUCUACAUAAUACAGAUUUACAUGGGAUCUUAUUUUCUAUGGUUUUACUGAGUCAGUUUUGUCCUUUUUUCUCUGUCCUGGUUUUGCUCAUCUGUAAAUAAUUGAAACUCAGUCAAAUAGUUUAUUGUUCUCCAGCAAAAUGUUUUGGAAACUCAUGUUUAACCUUUAAAACUCUGACAUGUUUUAGCACACAAGGCUUCAUCGGGGAGUUCACUCAUGAUUGGACCAUGAGAAUAAAGGUUUUUAGUUCUUUCAAAGAGAGUCUUGGAGCUGUUUGAUGUUUUUGUUUUUUCUGAAACCACCUGAAAGAAAAACUAUUUUUCUUGCUUUAUGUAGUGUGGAAGUUUUUAAUGUUUCUUUCAUCUGUGAUGUUCUUGAAUGUGUUCACAUGAAGAUGGUACAAAUAAACUGUCCUUUUAGCUUUA